GAUGAACGCUGGCGGCGUGCCUAAUACAUGCAAGUCGAGCGAACAGACGAGGAGCUUGCUCCUCUGACGUUAGCGGCGGACGGGUGAGUAACACGUGGAUAACCUACCUAUAAGACUGGGAUAACUUCGGGAAACCGGAGCUAAUACCGGAUAAUAUAUUGAACCGCAUGGUUCAAUAGUGAAAGACGGUUUUGCUGUCACUUAUAGAUGGAUCCGCGCCGCAUUAGCUAGUUGGUAAGGUAACGGCUUACCAAGGCAACGAUGCGUAGCCGACCUGAGAGAGUUAUCGGCCACACUGGAACUGAGACACGGUCCAGACUCCUACGGGAGGCAGCAGUAGGGAAUCUUCCGCAAUGGGCGAAAGCCUGACGGAGCAACGCCGCGUGAGUGAUGAAGGUCUUCGGAUCGUAAAACUCUGUUAUUAGGGAAGAACAAAUGUGUAAGUAACUAUGCACGUCUUGACGGUACCUAAUCAGAAAGCCACGGCUAACUACGUG
rnacentral:rRNA from 1 species